UCUCCUCGAUGGCGCCACCACGACCCCACGAUCUCCGGCGCUAGGGUGCAGGGACGCACCACCGUCUGCAUCGGGCGGCCGCUGCCUCGGUAGUCACUGAUCCAGUGAUCCCGGUCUCCGGCGGCGCUGUCGCCCCGUCAGAGGCAACGAAUGGCGGCGCGUUCCCAACAGUACCGUCCCGCGGUACCCCGACCUGAUUUGGAAUCGAGCCGCACCCCGAUCUAUGCGAGUCCCCUGUCCCCAUCACCCACCCUACUGAUCUCCGACGUGCUAGUCGGCGUGAAGCGCUGCUCGCGGCCCUCUCCCAUCGACCGCAACGGCCGCUCCCUUUCCUCUUCGUCGUCGUCCUCCUGUAGACAUGUACCUUGAAUUCGCGAAGGUGAUUGGCCAACUCAGCGUCGUCCGAACACCGACGGAAGCCGCGUUAUGUCUUCUCGGAGCUCCGCCCCCUUCCGCCGGCGUCGAGCUUUUCUCCGCCGUCGCCAUCACCGGCCAACGGACACAGAAGAUGAUCUAAUUCAGAACUAGGGGGUAUUUGUAAAAUAUCGGAUCGCGGUUAUUAAUCGCGAUCCAAUUUACGGGGUAUUUGUAAAAUAUCGGAUCGCGAUUAGUAAUAUCGAUCCGACUUAGGGGUUUUUGUGCAAAUAUCCAGGGUGCAUAUGCAAACUGUUUAUCCUCGACCUCGCCGCGACCGCCAUAGCCCCCGCCCCUUCCAGCCCCCAACGCGCCAGCUUCGAGGGCGACAGCCGACUCUUCGCCGCGGCUAGGCUCGUCGUACCCUAACGCCGCGCUCCCCAUGGCCCUCGUCCCCUACAACCGCACCCCUGCCGCGGCAGGCCCAUCAACGCCGCAGCCUCUGCUGUUAGCGCAAGGUGAGCCAUUCGAUUCCCCUAGCCGAAUCUCUACCCCGUUCAAGUAUCUGUUCAUCCUCUCUCAUCUCCUCCUCUUCUCCCUGGCAAGCGAAGGACCGGUAGCGCGAGAUCCCCCGUCUCCGCGAGGAGCUCAAGCUGAUCCGAGGUGCGUGCGUGCUUGCUCGAUUGGAAGGUUCCCAUGGCCCGAUUCGUGUAGCCUGAGUGUGAUGUGAACUUAGAUGUGCAUGCUACAUUGACAGGCCUGCAAACCGUCUCAAGCUGGAAUAUCCCUAAACCUAAUGUGAGUUUUUUCUAUUUUGACUUACUCCCCCACCGCGAUCGAACGGGAAUGGAUAAGAGGCUUGUGGGAUUGACGUGAUAGGGUAGGGUUGGCUAUACUGCUGGUGAAAUUGGCUCCCUUGGCUGGGUCUGCACUGACAGAAAGAGUAGGCAGUGUGGGCGGGGGUGACGAACUAGCUGCAGUGGGACAUGGAAUGGAUCGCGGAUGCUGUGGGAACUUCUGAAAGGCAGCGACUGCUAUGCAAACAGAGUAUAAAUGCAAUCAUGCAAUCAUCUAAUCACUGUCAUCAGAUCUUAAUCCAACGUCAUUAGGCUGUUUUGCAGAUCAACCCUCCCACCAUCCGGACUGUUUUGCAACUGGUCUUGGCCCAGAGCCGAUCGGGGGCCUCACGAGCCGAGCCGAUCCGAUCGAUCGGGGGGCAGAGCCUGCGCCUUCCUCCGGGAUCGAGCUCCGGCCCGGCCGCCAUCCAGGGGCGCCGCUGCUCCCAGGCGUUGGUUCGAUGCGAGCUCCGGCCCGGCCACCAUCCAGGGGCGCCGCUGCUCCCAGGCGCUGGUUCGAUGCGAGCUCCGGCCCGGCCGCCAUCCAGGGGCGCUGCUCCCAAGCACCAGCAAAGGGCGAGGUCCCCGCAAGGCGAGCUCCAGCACCAGUACCGCGCCAGACGAGGGCGCCCAGGCCACCGCCGCUCUAGGGGCCUGAAGCGCGCAGGGAGGAUACGAAGCCGCAUCCCCUCCGUUCCAGGGUGAGGGAUAGGGCGCCCAGGCCGCCGCCUCUCAAUGGCUAGCGUGCCCAGGGCGAGCUCCCAGCCGCAUCCCCUCCAUUUCAGCCACUGAAGAAGGCUUCUUGAUUUUUUUAGGGCCUCUGUUCUUGGGCAGGGACCUAGUAUCAUCGAGCAGCAAUUGACAGAAGUCUGUUUGUGCUUGUAAUUUGUAAUAGCAGAAGCCUGUUUGUGCUUGUAAUUUGUAAUGGCAGAAGCCUGAAACUGCUUGUAAUUUAUAAUGUCCUAGCAUCAGGACCUAGUGCACUCUUGUCCAUGGCUGUCUCUGUUCUUCAGACCUGGUUUGAGUAGCUUGUCUUGUGAUAUACUAAAUGAGUAGCUUUCAACCUGCCUAAUCUCCAAUAGAAAGAUGUGAGCUUAACUGUCUCC